CUCAGUAGACUGGUCCAACCCGAUGAUCCGUCGACCACACCAGGUGUCUUUCCUCAUUGUUGCUGCGAGAGGUUCCACCAUCGCCGCCGCCGCUCUCUCCAUUACUCAACUCCGCCGCCGCCGCCGUAGAUGGAGAGGAAAACGACGGUGCGCAGCGACUCCUCAGUCGCCUUCCUCACCUUCUCGGCCGCUGUACUCAUCCUCGCCGCGGAGGAUCUCGGCCUCCCCGACUCCCCGUCCCCAUCCCUGGCUCCACCGUUUGCGCCGCGGCCGGCGUCCUGGUCAUCCUCACCAUGGACGAGGCCAGCAGUUGUUGCACCCUGUCCUUGAUAGCCUACCGCACGGCCUGCACCGCCCGCGCGACCACCCUGCUGAUUUACUAGUUUGAGUAAUUGACAUUUUGUAAUAUGGUUACAUUCCUGGUUUUAGAUCUUCUUAUAUUUUGAAGGCACAAGUUUAUAAAAUCAGCAUAUGUGCAUUUAUCAGAACCCUAAUUGGACAGAAGGCACAAGUUUAUGAAAUCAACCUGGUGAAUAUUUUUGCUAUGUUUGCCGGACACUCAUAUUGUCCAACGAGGCUCUGCAAACUCAGUGCACACAUCUUUACUGCAAACCUUGCUUGACUUAUGUAGCAUCGACAACGCAAGCCUGCCCUUAUGAUGGCUACUUGGUGACAGAAGCCGAUUCCAAGUUAGCAGAGCUACCAACUGGACAACCGCGAGGUGCUCCAUAUCAUGGUGAGGCGGCAACGAGCUGCGCAAGGCCAGCGAUGAUCGUCUGGAGGGCAACAACGAGCUGCAGGAAGGCCGGCGACGAUCAUCUGGAGGGCGGUGACGAGCUGCAGGGAGGCCGGUGACGAGCUGCGAGGCCGGCGACGUGCUGCGGCAUAAUUGACGGCAUAGGUCCUGGUCUUCAUGGCGCGAUGCAUGAUUGGAAUUUGCUAUUCUUCUUUCUCUCCAAUGUUUACUUCAUUUUAUAAUGUUUCUGACUGGCUGUUUUUUUUAAAA